CCAGGAAGAUUCAUGUGAGAACAACAACAGACGUGGGUAGCCUCAGCCUCGAGGGCAUAUUAGCCGUAGAAAAAAGUUUUGGGUUUUGUUUGGUUUCGGUUUUUGUUUUGUGACAAGGUCUUGCUCGGUUGCCCCAGCUGGAGUACAGUGGCUCAAUCACUGCUUACUGCAGUCUUGACCUCCUGGGCUCAGGUGAUCCUCCCACCUCAGCCUCCUGAGUAAGUGGGACUACUUGUGCACAUCACCAUGGUGGGGUAACCUAGAAAAAAUUUGGAGCCAGUUAUGCAGGGAGGACUAUUUAUCAUGACUUUACUGUCAUCUUGAUAUUCUUUUUUCUAAGCCUAUUGGUAGUAUGGGAAUAUCAAUUGAUGUCAUUAAUAGUAGAUGUAGCCUCCUUUCCAUUUCUUUAGGAAUAAUAGAGGUACAGCUGAACAGGAAGCUCCUCCCUCUGGAGGAUUUUCAUGGCAACUGGCUUAUGGGGAAGGACUUUGGCACACAAUGAAAAACUACCAUGCACAAGGAGCAGCAGGGGCCUUUGUAACUGGUGUGACUCUGUGAUUAGCAGAUGCUGCCAUGCACCACUUCCCUCUCUAAUUAUGUCUUACAUUGAGCAUCUGGUUUUUUUCACCCCAGUCUAAGAGUUCCACCCAAACCAGAAAGAACUAUUUCAAAAACUGUUGCUUUACUUGGUUAUCGACAACCUAGGGUACUAUUUUACCUUAUCUAAUGUGCAAUUCUGGAGCACGUCCUCAAAGCAUAGGUCCAUUUUCUAGUUGUUUAGAAGACCAUUCAGGGUGCUGCAUUUCAGGUAAGGUGAGAGCUUGCGUCUUAUUCUGUGACACAGGGCAAGCUACUUCAGAAUUAUUAAUCGGGGAUGCAAAAGCAGGAGAUUGGACUGGGAAAGAGGAUUGAAGACGGGCCUGAACCUCUGCCUGAGCCAUGUGUGAGAGCUGGAAUUGGGGUGUGGGCGAAAUAAAGGGUUGGGAUUCAGGCCUCAGAUGGGGAAGGCACUGGGCCUGGUAAAGCAGUGGAGACAUUGUAGUCUCUGUUUGAACUGGGCGGACAUUGGGAAUGCCAUUGAACAAGAAGGGAGGAGACUGUAAAGCAUAAGAUCUCUCAGAAACCCAGGCAUUAGCCACCAAGGAUUCUCUGUGCAGAGAGGGGAGGCCCCAAAAAGCUGGCUACAAUUCUUCUGAAAAUGUUCUUUCAGGAUUCCAGGAUCUGAGAGCUUCUGAGGACUGG
rnacentral:lncRNA from 1 species